CCCAUGCAGCUCAGGAUUAAGAGCUGGAAACCAAAAGCCAAGGUCUGCUCCCUCAUCAGAAGUAAGACGCUGAAGCAGUUUCUGGACUCUGCUGAAACAAACCUUCUCUGGACCCAACAACUCCUCUCUCUGAGUUCAAACCGGAACCCUCAAGACUCCAGUGAACCAGUCCCCAGGCCUGAACCAGUUCCAGUCAUAUUCCCAUGUGCUUGUAAACAAUAAACUCUGUUAAACUUUUA